rnacentral:rRNA from 1 species
AAUCUGAGGGAGCUUGCUCCCAACGAUUAGCGGCGGACGGGUGAGUAACACGUGGGUAACCUGCCUGUAAGAUUGGGAUAACUCCGGGAAACCGGAGCUAAUACCGGAUAACAUUUUGAACCGCAUGGUUCAAAAUUGAAAGACGGCCUUUGGCUGUCACUUACAAAUGGACCCGCGGCGCAUUAGCUAGUUGGUGAGGUAACGGCUCACCAAGGCAACAAUGCGUACCCAACCUGAAAGGGUGAUCGGCCACACUGGAACUGAAACACGGCCCAAACUCCUACGGGAGGCAGCAGUAGGGAAUCUUCCGCAAUGGACAAAAGUCUGACGGACCAACGCCGCGUGAACGAUGAAGGCCUUCGGGUCGUAAAGUUCUGUUGUUAGGGAAAAACAAGUACCAGAGUAACUGCUGGUACUUUGACGGUACCUAACCAAAAAGCCACGGCUAACUACGUGCCACCAGCCGCGGUAAUACGUAGGUGGCAAGCGUU